GCGAAGCGGAUCACACUUGCGAGCACGCCCCCAAGGAAAUUCAUUAGGGCUUUCUGCCCUCCGAAGGCAGGGGUUGCUGGUUCGAUCCCAGCCGGGCGCGCCA
rnacentral:tRNA from 1 species